rnacentral:tRNA from 1 species
AGGUGGAUGAGUGGUUUAAAUCGCACGCCUGGAAAGCGUGUGUACGUUUCAAAGCGUACCGCGGGUUCGAAUCCCGCUCU